rnacentral:rRNA from 1 species
AACGAACGCUGGCGGCAUGCCUAACACAUGCAAGUCGAACGAGACCUUCGGGUCUAGUGGCGCACGGGUGCGUAACGCGUGGGAACCUGCCCUUAGGUUCGGAAUAACUCCCCGAAAGGGGUGCUAAUACCGGAUAAUGUCUUCGGACCAAAGAUUUAUCGCCUUUGGAUGGGCCCGCGUUGGAUUAGCUAGUUGGUAGGGUAAAAGCCUACCAAGGCAACGAUACAUAGCUGGUCUGAGAGGAUGAUCAGCCACACUGGGACUGAGACACGGCCCAGACUCCUACGGGAGGCAGCAGUGGGGAAUAUUGGACAAUGGGCGAAAGCCUGAUCCAGCUAUGCCGCGUGAGUGAUGAUGGCCUUAGGGUUGUAAAGCUCUUUUAUCCGGGAUGAUAAUGACAGUACCGGGAGAAUAAGCUCCGGCUAACUCCGUG